GUGAACGCUGGCGGUAGGCCUAACACAUGCAAGUCGAACGGCAGCACAGUAAGAGCUUGCUCUUACGGGUGGCGAGUGGCGGACGGGUGAGGAAUACAUCGGAAUCUACUUUUUCGUGGGGGAUAACGUAGGGAAACUUACGCUAAUACCGCAUACGACCUACGGGUGAAAGCAGGGGAUCUUCGGACCUUGCGCGAUUGAAUGAGCCGAUGUCGGAUUAGCUAGUUGGCGGGGUAAAGGCCCACCAAGGCGACGAUCCGUAGCUGGUCUGAGAGGAUGAUCAGCAACACUGGAACUGAGACACGGUCCAGACUCCUACGGGAGGCAGCAGUGGGGAAUAUUGGACAAUGGGCGCAAGCCUGAUCCAGCCAUACCGCGUGGGUGAAGAAGGCCUUCGGGUUGUAAAGCCCUUUUGUUGGGAAAGAAAAGCAGCAGGUUAAUACCCCGCUGUUCUGACGGUACCCAAAGAAUAAGCACCGGCUAACUUCGUG
rnacentral:rRNA from 1 species